GUGGGGAAUAUUGGACAAUGGGCGAAAGCCUGAUCCAGCCAUGCCGCGUGUGUGAAGAAGGUCUUCGGAUUGUAAAGCACUUUAAGCGAGGAGGAGGCUACCGAGAUUAAUACUCUUGGAUAGUGGACGUUACUCGCAGAAUAAGCACCGGCUAACUCUGUGCCAGCAGCCGCGGUAAUACAGAGGGUGCAAGCGUUAAUCGGAUUUACUGGGCGUAAAGCGCGCGUAGGUGGCCAAUUAAGUCAAAUGUGAAAUCCCCGAGCUUAACUUGGGAAUUGCAUUCGAUACUGGUUGGCUAGAGUAUGGGAGAGGAUGGUAGAAUUCCAGGUGUAGCGGUGAAAUGCGUAGAGAUCUGGAGGAAUACCGAUGGCGAAGGCAGCCAUCUGGCCUAAUACUGACACUGAGGUGCGAAAGCAUGGGGAGCAAACAGGAUUAGAUACCCGAGUAGUCC
rnacentral:rRNA from 1 species